AAAUUGAAGAGUUUGAUCAUGGCUCAGAUUGAACGCUGGCGGCAGGCCUAACACAUGCAAGUCGAACGGUAACAGGAAACAGCUUGCUGUUUCGCUGACGAGUGGCGGACGGGUGAGUAAUGUCUGGGAAACUGCCUGAUGGAGGGGGAUAACUACUGGAAACGGUAGCUAAUACCGCAUAACGUCGCAAGACCAAAGAGGGGGACCCUC
rnacentral:rRNA from 1 species